AUUAAAAGAUAUAUGUGUAUUUGGGGAAAAAAGUGCCCUUUAUUAAAAGAUAUAUGUGUAUUGGGAAAAAAAAGCCCCCUUUAUUAAAAGAUAUAUGUGUAUUGGAAAAAAAAAAAGCCCUUUAUUAAAAGGUAUAUGUGUAUUGGAAAAAAAAAACCCCUUUAUCAAAAGGUAUAUGUGUAUUGGAAAAAAAAAAAGCCCUUUGUUAAAAGGUAUAUGUGUAUUGGAAAAAAACCACAACCCUAUAUUAAAAGGUAUCUGUGUAUUGGAAAAAAAAAAACCUUUAUUAAAAGGUAUAUGUGUAUUGGAAAAAAAAAAAAGCCCUUUAUUAAAAGAUAUAUGUGUAUUGGGAAAAAAAAAAAAAGCCCUUCAUUAAAAGAUAUUUGUGUAUUGGCAGAGCAACGAAAGAACACAAAUAAACCAACCAAGCAAUAAUCCUCUACCCCAAAAA